AUUGAACGCUGGCGGCAGGCCUAACACAUGCAAGUCGAGCGAGCGGCGGACGGGUGAGUAAUGUCUGGGAAACUGCCUGAUGGAGGGGGAUAACUACUGGAAACGGUAGCUAAUACCGCAUACCCUCAGAUGUGCCCAGAUGGGAUUAGCUAGUAGGUGGGGUAAUGGCUAACCUAGGCGACGAUCCCUAACUGGUCGGAGAGGAUGACCAGCCACAUUGGAACUGAGACACGGUCCAGACUCCUCCGGGAGGCAGCAGGGGGGAAUAUGGCAACAGGGGCGCAAGCCUGAUGCAGCCAUGCCGCGUGUGUGAAGAAGGCCUUAGGGUUGUAAAACACGUUCAGCGGGGAGUCGUUACCCGAAGAAGAAGCACCGGCUAACUCCGUGCCAGCAGCCGCGGUAAUAC
rnacentral:rRNA from 1 species